rnacentral:rRNA from 1 species
GAUGAACGCUGGCGGCGUGCCUAAUACAUGCAAGUCGAGCGAACGGACGAGAAGCUUGCUUUUCUGAUGUUAGCGGCGGACGGGUGAGUAACACGUGGAUAACCUACCUAUAAGACUGGGAUAACUUCGGGAAACCGGAGCUAAUACCGGAUAAUAUUUUGAACCGCAUGGUUCAAAAGUGAAAGACGGUCUUGCUGUCACUUAUAGAUGGAUCCGCGCUGCAUUAGCUAGUUGGUAAGGUAACGGCUUACCAAGGCAACGAUGCAUAGCCGACCUGAGAGGGUGAUCGGCCACACUGGAACUGAGCCACGGGACAGACGACUACGGGAGGCAGCAGUAGGGAAUCUUCCGCAAAGGGCGAAAGACUGACGGAGCAACGCCGCGUGAGUGAUGAAGGUCUUCGGAUCGUAAAACUCUGUUAUUAGGGAAGAACAUAUGUGUAAGUAACUAUGAACAUCUUGACGGUACCUAAUCAGAAAGCCACGGCUAACUACGUG